GAUGAAGAACGUAGCGAAAUGCGAUAAGUAAUGUGAAUUGCAGAAUUCAGUGAAUCAUCGAAUCUUUGAACGCACAUUGCGCCCCUCGGUAUUCCGGGGGGCAUGCCUGUUCGAGCGUCAUUACACCACUCAAGCCUCGCUUGGUCUUGGGCGUCCGCGGUCCGCCGCGCGCCCCAACGUCGCCGGCUGAGCCGUCCGUCUCCAAGCGUUGUGGCAAACAUCAUCCGCUUGGGAGCACGGGGGGCCUCGGGCCGUUAAAACACCCCACCACAGGUUGACCUCGGAUCAGGUAGGGAUACCCGCUGAACUUAAGCAUAUCAAUAAGCGGAGGA
rnacentral:misc_RNA from 1 species